rnacentral:rRNA from 1 species
CCUACGGGUGGCUGCAGUGGGGAAUAUUGCACAAUGGGCGCAAGCCUGAUGCAGCCAUGCCGCGUGUGUGAAGAAGGCCUUCGGGUUGUAAAGCACUUUCAGCGGGGAGGAAGGCGGUGAGGUUAAUAACCUCAUCGAUUGACGUUACCCGCAGAAGAAGCACCGGCUAACUCCGUGCCAGCAGCCGCGGUAAUACGGAGGGUGCAAGCGUUAAUCGGAAUUGCUGGGCGUAAAGCGCACGCAGGCGGUCUGUCAAGUCGGAUGUGAAAUCCCCGGGCUCAACCUGGGAACUGCAUUCGAAACUGGCAGGCUAGAGUCUUGUAGAGGGGGGUAGAAUUCCAGGUGUAGCGGUGAAAUGCGUAGAGAUCUGGAGGAAUACCGGUGGCGAAGGCGGCCCCCUGGACAAAGACUGACGCUCAGGUGCGAAAGCGUGGGGAGCAAACAGGAUUAGAUACCCGUGUAGUC